rnacentral:rRNA from 1 species
GAUGAACGCUGGCGGCGUGCCUAAUACAUGCAAGUCGAGCGAACGGACGAGAAGCUUGCUUCUCUGAUGUUAGCGGCGGACGGGUGAGUAACACGUGGAUAACCUACCUAUAAGACUGGGAUAACUUCGGGAAACCGUAGCUAAUACCGGAUAAUAUUUUGAACCGCAUGGUUCAAAAGUGAAAGACGGUAUUGCUGUCACUUAUAGAUGGAUCCGCGCUGCAUUAGCUAGUUGGUAAGGUAACGGCUUACCAAGGCAACGAUGCAUAGCCGACCUGAGAGGGUGAUCGGCCACACUGGAACUGAGACACGGUCCAGACUCCUACGGGAGGCAGCAGUAGGGAAUCUUCCGCAAUGGGCGAAAGCCUGACGGAGCAACGCCGCGUGAGUGAUGAAGGUCUUCGGAUCGUAAAACUCUGUUAUUAGGGAAGAACAUAUGUGUAAGUAACUGUGCACAUCUUGACGGUACCUAAUCAGAAAGCCACGGCUAACUACGUG